UACGGAGGGUGCAAGCGUUAUCCGGAUUCACUGGGUUUAAAGGGUGCGUAGGAGGACAGGUAAGUCAGUGGUGAAAUCUCCGGGCUCAACUCGGAAACUGCCGUUGAUACUAUCUGUCUUGAAUACCGUGGAGGUGAGCGGAAUAUGUCAUGUAGCGGUGAAAUGCUUAGAUAUGACAUAGAACACCAAUUGCGAAGGCAGCUCACUACACGAAUAUUGACUCUGAGGCACGAAAGCGUGGGGAUCAAACAGGAUUAGAUACCCUCGUAGUCC
rnacentral:rRNA from 1 species